GCCAGUGUGGUAUAAUGGUUUGGGUGUUAGACUAUGGCUCUGGAGACCAGGGUUCAAAACAAUGCUUGGCC